GACGUAGGGCGCGAGCGUUGUCCGGAUUUAUUGGGCGUAAAGAGCUCGUAGGCGGCUUGUCGCGUCGACUGUGAAAUCCCGCGGCUCAACUGCGGGUCUGCAGUCGAUACAGGCAGGCUAGAGUUCGGUAGGGGAGACUGGAAUUCCUGGUGUAGCGGUGAAAUGCGCAGAUAUCAGGAGGAACACCGGUGGCGAAGGCGGGUCUCUGGGCCGAUACUGACGCUGAGGAGCGAAAGCGUGGUGAGCGAACAGG
rnacentral:rRNA from 1 species